AAUUAACAGGAAAUUCACGCAACAUCUGCACAGAAAGUCAAGUCGUCCUCUUGGUUCUUAUGCAUAUCUAACAGGAUAGCAAUUGAGAUCUGUACAACUUCCAACUGCAGGUAUUGAAUAUUUAUAAAUGUAGAGAAUUAUGUGAAUUGGAGUCAUUGACGGCACUUGCCUCCCUCAGAGAAUUGAAAAUCUUUCACUGCCCCAAAUUACUCGCUCCAACAUUUUCCACUCUACAAAAUCCUGCAACAACAGCAACAAAACAAAGUGCCACAAAGAUAAAGAAGGGAACAUUACCUUCACUUGAAAAGAUUGAUAUUGACAACAUAUUGUAUCUACCCAUUUGCCAAUUCCAGAAAGGUUAAACACCCUUUUUAUCAAUGACAUACCUCUCGAGUUCACUUGUUUCCCUUCUGAGAUAGAGGAGUGGUUGUUGCAAUGUCAGAAGUCUCUGAAAGAUUUAACAUUGAGAGAGAUGCCUCGUCUGCAAUCUUUACCGACAAGUUUGGAGAGCUUUUCAUCGCUCAAGGCUCUUUGCAUAUCUUACGCUCCAAUACUCAAGUCAUUGCCCAGGAUGCCUACCUCACUGAAGAUUCUGAAGAUAUAUGGAUGCAGUGCAAAGCUUAAGAAGCGUUGCCAAGAGAACAUCGGUCCCGAUUGGCCUAACAUCAACCACAUCCCUGACAUUCAUAUUAUAGUGGGUAAAGACGACAAGGACGAGGUGUGUUAAUGCUAACAAGGAAUCGUCAGUUUGUUCAUACUGCAUCUUGUGUUUGCUUAUUGAAUUACCUCAUUAUCACUUACCAUGCCAUUGACUAAGUUUUCUCAAAUUGCCCGUGUUCAUUUUAUUCUAUGAGAUUAAUAAUCUUCAUGUUGCUUAUUUUGCGUUAUAUACUUAUAGUUCAAGUCAAUUGCAAUUGUGUCAGCAGCAGGCUUUGCAGUUCCACAUUAUCACAUAUAUAUAAUACCAAGCACAGGACCUGGUCUGGUCAUUCAUCAAAAGGUCAAGUUACUAAGCACAGGACCUGGUCGUAUCUUUGUGCUUUAAGUUUCUGUUUCCAUUCAUUUUGAAAAUAAACCACAAAGAGAAAGAACCCAUACCGUGAUAAUACUCACCUUGGGUGUUGUUUUCCACACUUCUAAAACACAACUGAUUUGCUUGAUGUAUUCAUUAGAAGGGUCACAUUUCUAAGACACAACUGAUUUCUAAAUCGAUUAAUGCUUCUAUUAAUGUUGCAAAAGGAUUACUGAAAUUUGAUGUUCUUGGGAGACUUGAGGUUAUAAUCAUGGCUGGUUAUGCAUAGUAUAUAAUCUCAUCUUCUAUUAUUUGAAGCUUUCCUUCAAAAAUGUACUGAGUAUAUUUAUCUAUUUCCACUUGAUAUUAUUUGUUUUCAUGGAAAAUUAAUCUUCUUCAUUUUUGAACUCUUUAAAUGCUUACAGGGUGACUUAUAGUCUUGACAAGAACACCAUUGCAUUAUCAAUUCCAGAUGUCAUAUACAUCUUUUUUAUGUUGAUUAAGUGAAAACAUUCAAUUUGUUGAUCUUUCUUGAGUGUCUACCAGAUCCACAUUCAACAAUGAGCAGAUAUUGCUACCAAGAAUUAGGUGAUGAUCAAAUUUUUUCUUCCACUCUUGUCGCUGAAUCUACAAUCAUUGUAACUUCUGGUGAAGUAUAUGAACAGAGAUUAUAUAUUUGAAGUGCAUCCUCAACUAUAUGAACAGAGACAACUUCCUCAAGCUCUCCCCUCUCCUAUUGUUGAUAAUUGGCUUGUCUCAGUACUAAUUCCAACAAAUCUAUAAGAAUUUCCAACAAUGUAUUUGAUCUCCCAACCUCGUAUAUUUUGUUCAAUGUUUGUGUGGUUUAACAUUCAUCUUGUGAUGGACAUUGAGAUGAUGCAUUUAUCUGUUUUUUC